UUCGGAAUAACUCAGGGAAACUUGAGCUAAUACCGGAUACGUCCUUAGGGAGAAAGAUUUAUCGCCCCUGGACGGGCCCGCGUCGGAUUAGCUUGUUGGUGGGGUAACGGCCCACCAAGGCGACGAUCCGUAGCUGGUCUGAGAGGAUGAUCAGCCACACUGGGACUGAGACACGGCCCAGACUCCUACGGGAGGCAGCAGUGGGGAAUCUUGCACAAUGGGCGAAAGUGAUGCAGCCAUGCCGCGUGAGUGAUGAAGGCCUUAGGGUUGUAAAACUCUUUCAUCGGUGAAGAUAAUGACGGUAGCCGAAGAAGAAGCCCCGGCUAACUCCGUGCCAGCAGCCGCGGUAAUACGGAGGGGGCAAGCGUUGUUCGGAAUUACUGGGCGUAAAGCGCACGUAGGCGGACUGGUCAGUUGGGGGUGAAAUCCCGAGGCUUAACCUCGGAACUGCCUUCAAUACUGCCAGUCUUGAGAUCGGAAGA
rnacentral:rRNA from 1 species